rnacentral:rRNA from 2 species
UGCAGCAGAGCUCCGACCUUCGGGGACGAGCGCUUUUAUUAGACCAAAACCAAUCGGACCUCGUGUCCGUCCUUUGUGGUGACUCUGUAUAACUUUGGGCUGAUCGCACGGGCCUGUCCCGGCGACGUAUCUUUCAAGUGUCUGCCUUAUCAACUUUCGAUGGUAGGUUACGCGCCUACCAUGGUCGUAACGGGUAACGGGGAAUCAGGGUUCGAUUCCGGAGAGGGAGCCUGAGAAACGGCUACCACAUCCAAGGAAGGCAGCAGGCGCGCAAAUUACCCACUCCCAGAACGGGGAGGUAGUGACGAAAAAUAACAAUACGGGACUCUUUUGAGACCCCGUAAUUGGAAUGAGUACACUCUAAAUCCUUUAACGAGGAUCCAUUGGAGGGUAAGUCUGGUGCCAGCAACCGCGGUAAUUCCAGCUCCAAUAGCGUAUAUUAAAGUUGUUGCGGUUAAAAAGCUCGUAGUUGGAUCUCAGUUCCAGACGGGUGGUCCGCCUACCGGUGGUUACUGCCUGUUCUGAACAGUCAGCCGGUUUCUCUUGAUGAUCUUCACCGGUUGUCUUGGGUGACCGGCAAGUUUACUUUGAAAAAAUUAGAGUGCUCAAAGCAGGCGUGACGCCUGAAUAAUGGUGCAUGGAAUAAUGGAAUAGGACCUCGGUUCUAUUUUGUUGGUUUUCGGAACACGAGGUAAUGAUUAAGAGGGACAGACGGGGGCAUUCGUAUUGCGACGCUAGAGGUGAAAUUCUUG